UUUGAUCCUGGCUCAGGACGAACGCUGGCGGCGUGCCUAAUACAUGCAAGUCGAGCGGACAGAUGGGAGCUUGCUCCCUGAUGUUAGCGGCGGACGGGUGAGUAACACGUGGGUAACCUGCCUGUAAGACUGGGAUAACUCCGGGAAACCGGGGCUAAUACCGGAUGCUUGUUUGAACCGCAUGGUUCAAAUAUAAAAGGUGGCUUCGGCUACCACUUACAGAUGGACCCGCGGCGCAUUAGCUAGUUGGUGAGGUAACGGCUCACCAAGGCAACGAUGCGUAGCCGACCUGAGAGGGUGAUCGGCCACACUGGGACUGAGACACGGCCCAGACUCCUACGGGAGGCAGCAGUAGGGAAUCUUCCGCAAUGGACGAAAGUCUGACGGAGCAACGCCGCGUGAGUGAUGAAGGUUUUCGGAUCGUAAAGCUCUGUUGUUAGGGAAGAACAAGUACCGUUCGAAUAGGGCGGUACCUUGACGGUACCUAACCAGAAAGCCACGGCUAACUACGUGCCAGCAGCCGCGGUAAUACGUAGGUGGCAAGCGUUGUCCGGAAUUAUUGGGCGUAAAGGGCUCGCAGGCGGUUUCUUAAGUCUGAUGUGAAAGCCCCCGGCUCAACCGGGGAGGGUCAUUGGAAACUGGGGAACUUGAGUGCAGAAGAGGAGAGUGGAAUUCCACGUGUAGCGGUGAAAUGCGUAGAGAUGUGGAGGAACACCAGUGGCGAAGGCGACUUNNNNNGUCU
rnacentral:rRNA from 2 species